UUAAGUUCAGCGGGUAGUCCUACCUGAUUUGAGAUCAAACGUCCAAAAGCUGUCUCCACUGAAGAGAGACAUUUAUGAGCCCCAGCGAACCUCCAUCACUGAAGGUUAUCUGGCAGAAAACCACAGGCGUAGAUAGUUAUCACACCCAUGACGCCACCAAACACUGGAAAGCUGAUCCGUUUGAGAGGAGCCGACCAAAG
rnacentral:misc_RNA from 1 species